UACAGAGGGGGCAAGCGUUGUUCGGAAUUACUGGGCGUAAAGGGCGCGUAGGCGCCUUCUAAGUCGAACGUGAAAUCCCCGGGCUCAACCCGGGAACUGCGUCCGAUACUGGAAGGCUUGAAUCCGGGAGAGGGAUGCGGAAUUCCUGGUGUAGCGGUGAAAUGCGCAGAUAUCAGGAGGAACACCGGUGGCGAAGGCGGAUCUCUGGGCCAUUACUGACGCUGAGGAGCGAAAGCGUGGGGAGCGAACAGG
rnacentral:rRNA from 1 species